GUGCGACCUCGUAAACGUAUACUGAAUGUAUCCUGAGUGUAUCCUAUCCGGUAUACCUUCAGUAUACGUAACACGAGAUAGCAC
rnacentral:pre_miRNA from 13 species